UUGUGUAUUCUUGCUUGGCAGGAGGUUGGACUGGAUGGUCCUUGUGGUCUCUUCCAACUGUGUGAUUCUAUGAUUCUAUGAAGUUCGAUUCCCUGCUCAGCCAUGGAAACCAGCUGGAUGAUCUUGGGAGAUCCUCACCCUUUCAUCCCUGGAAAUCCCCAUAAUAGGUUUACCUUAUGAUUGCAAUGAAGCAGAAAUUUGGAGAUCACCGUUCAGACGCCACACGAAGUAGGAAAGCAGAUCUUCUUUAUUUAUGGUACCGGUCUCAGCAGAGAAAUAGCUUUCUAGAGACUACUGAGCACAGGUGUACAGUGGCUGCACAUUUUUAUACAGAAUCACACAAAAUCAGGAAAUUAUUCUCCUUCGAUUUCUCCAUCCCUUCAGACAAACAUGUGUAGAAGACCUGUGCAGUGGUAUUUAGAGGCAGGUAGAAGAUGGAGCUGAAAAUAUCACUUUAAAAAAAAAAAGUUAUGUUCAGAACCACAACCCGGAAACACCACCCAAGGAGACUUUCUGCUGUGCUUUCUGCAACCGGACUUGUUUAUCUCGGAUUGGCCUUUUUAGUCAUCAACGCACUUCUAGAAAACGUGGGAUGCAUCCUUCCUGAAUCUUCAUCCAGAGAGAUGUUACUCACAAGAAGAGCAAAAAUAAUAUGUCAAUGUGUUAGUUCUUCUGAUGCCCCAAAUAUUAUAUUUUAUGUUACUCAUUGCAUUCUUCAUUUGGAGGAAAGCUAGGAGGAGAGUUGCCUCUUACUUUGAUUUAGGAGAUUGUCAAAAAGACAACUGUCUACUUUAAAAUGUUUUUUUUAAAGGACUUGCCCCAUUCUCCACAUGUCAAGACCCCCACCCCCCUUCAAGAUGAUAUUCACUGCACAAUAUUAAUGGCCAGUGUAAAACAAGGUUUCCUGUAACACAGACCUUUUUUGUCAAAAAAAAAAAUGAUUUUAAAAAACCAUCGUUAUUUGUGUGGCCAAAUGUUGGCUUUGCUGAAAAACCUGAGAUCCUUUUUAUACAAAUGAAUAUGUGGCAAACAAAGUACAAAAGUGUAUAAAUGUGCAAAAUCUUUCACAAAUCUCAGCGAUCGGAAAGAAGUUACAAAAUUAUUCAUCUCAUGUCUAACCACUGCAGAAAUGUAGCUGGCACCUUGCCACAUUUCCAGCUGUGUUCUGUUGCUCUGCCAAGAUAUGCUAGAAGCAAGGAACUGAACAAGCAGACUCCUGCCCUGCACUGUUUCAUGUUUUUAAAAGUAAAAAAAUAAAUAGUAACCCUGCUGCCAAGGGAGGAUUCUAUAAUUGCAGUAAGAAUCUACACUAUAUAAGGAAUAAUUAUACAUUGGGUAAGUAGGAAAAAGGCAACACUAUCCCAGCCAGUGAAGAUAAGUAAUUAGCAUAAAUAAAUAAAUAACAUGUUUUAUUUAAAAAA